AUAAGAGCUGCACAGCUUUGGGGCCUCAGAGAAAAGGCUAGAAUCUUUGUUCAUUCAGGGAGAUGGUUGAUGGGCUGCUUGGAUGAGCUAGGGGUGCUUGAACAAGGACAAUGCUUUAUACAAGUGUCGAACCCAUCUUUGGAAAACUGUUUCUUGAAGCAUGGCUCAAGGUUUAGUGAGGCUAAGAAAAAUCUACAAGUAAUCAAGGGUACUGUGGUGAUAGCUAAGAAUCCUUGUCUUCAUCCUGGAGAUAUAAGGAUCUUGGAAGCAGUUGAUGCUCCUGGACUGCACCAUUUACAUGAUUGCCUUGUCUUCCCACAGAAGGGUGACAGGCCUCACACAAAUGAAGC
rnacentral:misc_RNA from 1 species